UACGAAGGGGCUAGCGUUGCUCGGAAUCACUGGGCGUAAAGGGUGCGUAGGCGGGUCUUAAGUCAGGGUGAAAUCCUGGAGCUCAACUCCAGAACUGCCUUUGAUACUGAAGAUCUUGAGUUCGGGAGAGGUGAGUGGAACUGCGAGUGUAGAGGUGAAAAUUCGUAGAUAUUCGCAAGAACACCAGUGGCGAAGGCGGCUCACUGGCCCGAUACUGACGCUGAGGCACGAAAGCGUGGGGAGCAAACAGG
rnacentral:rRNA from 1 species